AGUGAACGCUGGCGGCAUGCCUAACACAUGCAAGUCGAACGGCAGCAUCGUAUCUGCUGGCUCUUAGGUGUGGCGAGUGGCGGACGGGUGACGUAUACAUGGAAAUCUACUCUUUCGGGGGGGAUAACGUCGGAAAACGUACUCUAACCCCACAUACGACCUACGUGGAAGAGCAGGGGAUCUUCGCACCAUGCGCUAGUGAAUGAGCCUAUGUAGGAUUAGCUAGUUGGCGGGUUAAAGGCCCACCAAGGCGACGAUGCGUAGCUGGUCUGAGAGGAAGAUCCGCCACACUGGAACUGAGACACGUCCCAGACUCCUACGGGAGGCAGCAGUCGGGAAUCUUGGACAAUGGGCGAAAGCCUGAUCCAGCAAUACCGCGUGGGUGAAGAAGGCCUUCGGGUUGUAAAGCGCUUUUGUCCGGAAAGAAAAGCAGCUGGUUAAUACCUGGCGGUAAUGACGGUACCGGAAGAAUAAGCACCGGCUAACUUCGUG
rnacentral:rRNA from 1 species